rnacentral:rRNA from 1 species
AGCGGCGAACGGGUGAGUAACACGUAGGUGAUCUGCCCAUCAGACGGGGACAACGAUUGGAAACGAUCGCUAAUACCGGAUAGGACGAAAGUUUAAAGGUGCUUCUGGCACCGCUGAUGGAUGAGCCUGCGGCGCAUUAGCUAGUUGGUAGGGUAAAGGCCUACCAAGGCGACGAUGCGUAGCCGACCUGAGAGGGUGAACGGCCACACUGGGACUGAGACACGGCCCAGACUCCUACGGGAGGCAGCAGUAGGGAAUCUUCGGCAAUGGGCGAAAGCCUGACCGAGCAACGCCGCGUGAAUGAUGAAGGCCUUCGGGUUGUAAAAUUCUGUUAUAAGGGAAGAACGACUUUAGUAGGAAAUGGCUAGAGUGUGACGGUACCUUAUGAGAAAGCCACGGCUAACUACGUGCCAGCAGCCGCGGUAAUACGUAGGUGGCGAGCGUUAUCCGGAAUUAUUGGGCGUAAAGAGCGCGCAGGUGGUUGAUUAAGUCUGAUGUGAAAGCCCACGGCUUAACCGCGGAGGGUCAUUGGAAACUGGUCGACUUGAGUGCAGAAGAGGGAAGUGGAAUUCCAUGUGUAGCGGUGAAAUGCGUAGAGAUAUGGAGGAACACCAGUGGCGAAGGCGGCUUCCUGGUCUGUAACUGACACUGAGGCGCGAAAGCGUGGGGCGCAAACAGGAUUAGAUACCCUGGUAGUCCACGCCGUAAACGAUGAGUGCUAAGUGU